rnacentral:rRNA from 1 species
AUUGAACGCUGGCGGCAUGCUUUACACAUGCAAGUCGAACGGUAACAGGCCUUCGGGCGCUGACGAGUGGCGAACGGGUGAGUAAUGCAUCGGAACGUGCCCAGUCGUGGGGGACAACGCAGCGAAAGCUGUGCUAAUACCGCAUACGAUCUGCGGAUGAAAGCGGGGGACCUUCGGGCCUCGCGCGAUUGGAGCGGCCGAUGUCAGAUUAGGUAGUUGGUGGGGUAAAGGCUCACCAAGCCAACGAUCUGUAGCUGGUCUGAGAGGAAGACCAGCCACACUGGGACUGAGACACGGCCCAGACUCCUACGGGAGGCAGCAGUGGGGAAUUUUGGACAAUGGGCGCAAGCCUGAUCCAGCAAUGCCGCGUGCAGGAAGAAGGCCUUCGGGUUGUAAACUGCUUUUGUACGGAGCGAAAAGGCUCCCUCUAAUACGGGGGGCUCAUGACGGUACCGUAAGAAUAAGCACCGGUUAACUACGUGCCAGCCGCCGCGGUAAAAC